rnacentral:rRNA from 1 species
CCUACGGGAGGCAGCAGCAGGGAAUCUUGGGCAAUGGGCGAAAGCCUGACCCAGCGACGUCGCGUGGGGGACGAAGGCCUUCGGGUUGUAAACCCCUUUUCCGAGGGAAGAGAAAGGACGGUACCUCGGGAAUAAGCCCCGGCUAACUACGUGCCAGCAGCCGCGGUAAUACGUAGGGGGCAAGCGUUACCCGGAAUCACUGGGCGUAAAGUGCGCGUAGGCGGUUGGAUAAGUCUCUUGUGAAAGCUCCCGGCUCAACUGGGAGAGGUCAAGGGAUACUAUUCGACUUGAGGACAGCAGAGGUAAGCAGAAUUCCCGGUGUAGCGGUGGAAUGCGUAGAUAUCGGGAGGAACACCAGUGGCGAAAGCGGCUUACUGGGCUGUAUCUGACGCUGAGGCGCGAGAGCGUGGGGAGCAAACUGGAUUAGAUACCCAGGUAGUCCACGCCCUAAACGAUGGAUACUAGGUAUGGGGGGUAUUGACCCCCUCCGUGCCGUAGCUAACGCGUUAAGUAUCCCGC